GUGUUGAACUCUACAGAUUAUUAAAUUGAAGGAAACGGAUGGCCACUUGAGUGACCCGCUGCACACGCUGGCUUUGGGGUGUUACAGUGGAUCGCCAGGAGGGCGGGGAAAACGUGUAAUGGAUAACAGCUCCUUAAAGAACCUGGGAACAGCAUGGAGUGAUGGCGUAGGCACUUUGUGCGGCAGAGGAAAAAUAUCCAAGAAGGAAGCUCCCAAGGAGGUUACCAGGUGCACAGUUCAGCCAAACACUGAGGACCUGGGGGUGAAGGAAGGAAAGGAUGAUGGCCUAUGUAUUCAUCGCUCUGCAGAUUGCUGGGACAAAAUAUCCAGAGAGCAACUUCUACAGGAAAGAUUGGUCCAUCAUGGUAGCAGAAGCCAUGGAGCAGCAGCUGGAGGUGGCGGGUCAUGUGGACCCUCAGUCGGGAGCAAGAUGGAUGCUACUUCUCAGCUGUCUCUCUCCUCUCUAUAAGUUCAGGGCCCCACCCUGUGGACCGGUGCUGCCCACAGGAAAGGAGUGUCUUCCUACCCCCUUCAUCACAUGCCAGAAGCUGAUUCAACUCAUGUACCUGAUUGUUCUAGAUCUUGUCAAGGUGACAAUCACAUUAACCAUGCAGGUGGUCAAGUAUAUGAAAUAGAAUAUUGACAGUUGCUGAGGCUGAACCAUGCAUACGUGAGACUUCAUCACUCUUUCUGCUUUUCUGGACAUUAGAAUAUUUCCAAAAUAAAGUCCUUUUUAAAAACA